rfam:Leptonema illini DSM 21528 genomic scaffold Lepilscaffold_1, whole genome shotgun sequence.
GGAGAGGUGUCAGAGUGGUCGAAUGUGCCUGACUCGAAAUCAGGUGUUCCGCAAGGAACCGAGGGUUCGAAUCCCUCCCUCUCCG